rnacentral:rRNA from 1 species
GUCCACGCCGUAAACGAUGGAUACUAGCUGUUGGGAUUUAUCUCAGUGGCUAAGCGAAAGUGAUAAGUAUCCCACCUGGGGAGUACGUUCGCAAGAAUGAAACUCAAAGGAAUUGACGGGGGCCCCGCACAAGCGGUGGAGCAUGUGGUUUAAUUCGAUGAUACGCGAGGAACCUUACCAAGGCUUAAAUGUAGAUUGACAGGUUUGGAAACAGAUCUUUCUUCGGACAAUUUACAAGGUGCUGCAUGGUUGUCGU